rnacentral:rRNA from 1 species
CCUGACCAGCCAUGCCGCGUGCAGGAAGACGGCCCUCCGGGUUGUAAACUGCUUUUGUACGGGAAUAAACCUUAGUAUGUAUACUAAGCUGAAUGUACUGUAAGAAUAAGGAUCGGCUAACUCCGUGCCAGCAGCCGCGGUAAUACGGAGGAUCCGAGCGUUAUCCGGAUUUAUUGGGUUUAAAGGGUGCGUAGGCGGCCUGUUAAGUCAGGGGUGAAAGACGGUAGCUCAACUAUCGCGUGCCCUUGAUACUGAUGGGCUUGAAUGUACUAGAGGUAGGCGGAAUGUGACAAGUAGCGGUGAAAUGCAUAGAUAUGUCACAGAACACCAAUUGCGAAGGCAGCUUACUAUGGUAUGAUUGACGCUGAGGCACGAAAGCGUGGGGAUCAAACAGGAUUAGAUACCCUGGUAGUCCACGCCCUAAACGAUGAAUACUCGAUGUUAGCGAUAUACGGUUAGCGUCAAAGCGAAAGCGUUAAGUAUUCCACCUGGGGAGUACGCCCGCAAGGGUGAAACUCAAAGGAAUUGACGGGGGCCCGCACAAGCGGAGGAGCAUGUGGUUUAAUUCGAUGAUACGCGAGGAACCUUACCCGGGCUUGAAAGUUAGUGAAUUGAGCAGAGACGCUCAAGUC